rnacentral:rRNA from 1 species
ACGCUGGCGGCGUGCUUACACAUGCAGUCGAACGGGAUCCAGGCUUCGGCCUGGUGAGAGUGGCGAACGGGUGAGUAACGCGUAGGCAAUCUGCCCUUCGGUGGGGGAUAGCCCCGGGAAACCGGGAUUAAUACCGCAUGACGCGCCGGGAUCGCAUGGUUCUGGCGUUAAAGAUUCAUUGCCGGAGGAUGAGCCUGCGUUGCAUUAGCUAGUUGGUGGGGUAACGGCUCACCAAGGCGACGAUGCAUAGCUGGUCUGAGAGGAUGAUCAGCCACACUGGGACUGAGAUACGGCCCAGACUCCUACGGGAGGCAGCAGUGAGGAAUAUUGGACAAUGGGCGAAAGCCUGAUCCAGCAACGCCGCGUGAACGAUGACGCUGCUCUGCAGUGUAAAGUUCUGUAAGGAGGGACGAAUACCUGGGUAUGGCCCAGGGGGGACGGUACCUCUUAAGUAAGCACCGGCUAACUCCGUGCCAGCAGCCGCGGUAAUACGGGGGGUGCAAGCGUUGUCCGGAUUUAUUGGGCGUAAAGGGCUCGUAGGCGGGAUGGUAAGUCUGGCGUGAAUCUCCCGGCUCAACCGGGAAGCUGCGCUGGAAACUGCCGUUCUUGAGUUGCGGAGAGGAAGUUGGAAUUCCUGGUGUAGCGGUGGAAUGCGUAGAUAUCAGGAAGAACACCAAUAGCGAAGGCAAACUUCUGGCCGCUGACUGACGCUGAGGAGCGACUGCGUGGGGAGCAAACAGGAUUAGGUACCCUGGUAGUCCACGCCCUAAACGAUGUCGACUGGGUGUUGGGAGAGAGAUCUCUUGGUACCGUAGCUAACGCGUGAAGUCGACCGCCUGGGGAGUACGGCCGCAAGGUUAAAGCUCAAAGGAAUUGACGGGGACCCGCACAAGCGGUGGAUGAUGUGGAUUAAUUCGAUGCAACGCGAACAACCUUACCUACCCUUGACAUGUCCGGAACCCUGCUGAGAGGUGGGGGUGCCCGAAAGGGAAUCGGAACACAGGUGCUGCAUGGCUGUCGUCAGCUCGUGUCGUGAGAUGUUGGGUUAAGUCCCGCAACGAGCGCAACCCUUGUCCCUAGUUGCUACGCAAGGGCACUCUAGGGAGACUGCCGGUGACAAACCGGAGGAAGGUGAGGAUGACGUCAAGUCCUCAUGGCCCUUAUGGGUAGGGCUUCACACGUCAUACAAUGGACGGUACAGAGGGUUGCCAACCCGCGAGGGGGAGCCAAUCCCAGAAAGCCGUUCGUAGUCCGGAUCGCAGUCUGCAACUCGACUGCGUGAAGUCGGAAUCGCUAGUAAUCGCGGAUCAGCAUGCCGCGGUGAAUACGUUCCCGGGUCUUGUACACACCGCCCGUCACACCAUGGGAGUGGUUCUACCAGAAGUAGUAGGCUAACCGCAAGGAGCCGCUACCACGUA